GACGAACGCUGGCGGCGUGCUUAACACAUGCAAGUCGAACGAUGAACCCGGAGCUUGCUCCGGUGGAUUAGUGGCGAACGGGUGAGUAACACGUGAGUAACCUGCCCUUGACUCUGGGAUAACUGCGGGAAACUGUAGCUAAUACCGGAUACGACCCUCGGCGGCAUCGCCAGGGGGUGGAAAGAAUUUCGGUCAAGGAUGGACUCGCGGCCUAUCAGCUAGUUGGCGAGGUAACGGCUCACCAAGGCGACGACGGGUAGCCGGCCUGAGAGGGUGACCGGCCACCCUGGGACUGAGAGACAGCCCAGACUCCUACGGGGGGCAGCAGUGCGGGAUAGUGCACAAUGGGCGCAAGCCUGAGGCGGCAACGCCGCGUGGGGGAUGACGGCCUUCGGGGUGUAAACCUCUUUUAGUAGGGAAGAAGCGAAAGUGACGGUACCUGCAGAAAAAGCACCGGCUAACUACGUGCCAGCCGCCGCGGUAA
rnacentral:rRNA from 1 species